rnacentral:lncRNA from 1 species
GGUUAGGGGUAGGGAUUUUUGGCAUCAAGGUUUUUUUAAUUUUGGAAAAAGGAAGAAUUGGGGGCUGAGAUUGAAAGGAGGAAAACGGGAGGUUGUUAAAGUUUUUUAGAAAAGACAAGAUUCAAGAUUGGUUUAAGGUUUUGAAGCCACUUGCAAUUUUUUUUUUUUUCUAAAAUUUUGAAUGAAGUUAGAUUAUGAUUUUAGCUUUUUAACAAGCUAUAGUACAAAAAAAUAGAGCUAUGAGGAGGGAGAACCAUGCGAAUUUGUAAAAAAGAGGUCGUUGGAGUUUGCCAGUAGUGAAAUUCAAGACUAUUAGGAAUUUCUUUGCUAUUUUUUGUAUUUUUUUUUCUUAUUUUAAAAUUUUCAAAAAAGCUAGAUUUUGUUGCUAGCUUUCCAACAAGCUAUUUCAUGCACGAAAUAGAGCUAUGAAGAAGGAGAUCUAAGCAGAUUUGUGAGAGGGGGGUCGUUGGAGUUUUUUAAGUGGUAAGAUUAAGUUUAGUUUGAGGUUUCUUAUUGUAUUUUUUGAAUUUUCUUCUUUUUAUUCUGAAAAUUUGAAAAAAGCUUUAUCUUGUUGUUAGCUUUUCAAAAUUUAUUUUAUGCAAGAAGAAGAGCUUUGAUGAGGGAGAUUCACAUAGAUUUGCCGGAAAGAAUUUGCUGGAGUUUUUGGAUGGUGGAAUUCAAGAUUGGUUUGGAUCUUUCUAUGCUAAUUAUUGGAUUUUCUUCUUUUUAUUCUGAAAAUUUGGAAGUAGCUAGAAUUCAUUGUUAGCUUUUCAACAAGUCUUAGCAGAAGAAGAGUUGUGUUGAAGGAGAUCCAA